GAACCAUUAGCUCAGUCGGUAGAGCAUCUGACUUUUAAUCAGAGGGUCCGGAGUUCGAGUCUCCGAUGGUUCACCA
rnacentral:tRNA from 1 species